UACGUAGGGUGCGAGCGUUAAUCGGAAUUACUGGGCGUAAAGGGUGCGUAGGCGGUCCUGUAAGUAUGGUGUGAAAUCUCUCGGCUUAACUGGGAGGGUGCGCUAUAGACUGCGGGACUAGAGGGUGGGAGAGGAAAGUGGAAUUCCUGGUGUAGCGGUGAAAUGCGUAGAUAUCAGGAGGAACACCGGUGGUGUAAACGGCUUUCUGGACCAUUUCUGACGCUGAGGCACGAAAGCGUGGGUAGCAAACAGG
rnacentral:rRNA from 1 species